CGCUGGCGGCGUGCCUAAUACAUGCAAGUCGAACGGUCUUUCUAUGGAAGCUUGCUUCCACUGAGAAGAUAGUGGCGAACGGGUGAGUAACGCGUGGGUAACCUGCCCAUAAGAGGGGGAUAACAUCCGGAAACGGGUGCUAAUACCGCAUAGUUUUCUUGAUCGCAUGAUUGAGAAAGGAAAGACGGCCUUUGUGCUGUCGCUUAUGGAUGGACCCGCGGCGUAUUAGUUAGUUGGCGAGGUAACGGCUCACCAAGACGAUGAUACGUAGCCGACCUGAGAGGGUGAUCGGCCACAUUGGGACUGAGACACGGCCCAAACUCCUACGGGAGGCAGCAGUAGGGAAUCUUCCGCAAUGGACGAAAGUCUGACGGAGCAACGCCGCGUGAGUGAAGAAAGGUUUUCGGAUCGUAAAACUCUGUUGUCAGAGAAGAACAAGUUGGAGAGUAACUGCUCCAGCCUUGACGGUAUCUGACCAGAAAGCCACGGCUAACUACGUGCCAGCAGCCGC
rnacentral:rRNA from 1 species